UGGUGGGAGAGGAGGAGUCAGUGGGUGGAGAGUCACACAUAGAGUCAGUCCCAGGCACCGGGAGAAGCCGGCCCUCUCCAUCCAUUACAGUCUCACUACCCUGGUGGCUAUGAUCACUGUGAUACCGCUCUAGGCCUCAGGAUACUAAACUCCAAGGGGAACCUGUUCCCGGAACGGCCUGCAGCCCUAUACGCUGUCCUGGCAGAGCCCAGCCGGGGCGCCCUUCUCCUCCUCCUCACUUCUUCUCUGCGGGGUCCACACAAACCUUUAUUGAUAGUGUAAAGCAUCUGGGAAGCAUUUACACCUUCUUUGGCCGCAUAUGUAACUUCCAACCGGAAGGCGCCGUCCACGUCCGACUUUUUAUCUCUAUUACUCCUGUUAUUCACCGGACCUGCCAGUCACAGUAAAGGACGUAGGGGCAGCCACCUUGCACCACCAAACUGGGAAUCUAUCAUUCGGAUUCCACAGACGCCAAGCGAUCUGACAAGCCCACAAAGGUGUUGUGCCCUCAGUGCAACACACAACGAGCCACCAUAUUCCCACUUGUGUCCGAAGUUACCUGUUCUUAUCUAUCCCGAUUCCUGGGAAGGCUGCAGACAGGAUUUGUGUUUCCUACACUCAUUCCAUUGUUGUGUAUGGGUUGACACAACCAACAGUGAAUUGUGAAGCGAUGACUUGAACACAUACCUGAGACAGCCGGCGCCAGCUCCCUAGCUGUGCAGUUGGGCAGGUGAAUAAUAGCUGAAGCCGCUUCAUA